rnacentral:rRNA from 1 species
GACGAACGCUGGCGGCGUGCUUAACACAUGCAAGUCGAACGAUGAACCCUAGCUUGCUGGGGGGAUUAGUGGCGAACGGGUGAGUAACACGUGAGUAACCUGCCCUGGACUCUGGGAUAAGCGUUGGAAACGGCGUCUAAUACCGGAUAGGACCUGGAACCGCAUGGUUUUGGGUGGAAAGUUUUUUCGGUCUGGGAUGGACUCGCGGCCUAUCAGCUUGUUGGUGAGGUAAUGGCUCACCAAGGCGUCGACGGGUAGCCGGCCUGAGAGGGUGACCGGCCACACUGGGACUGAGAUACGGCCCAGACUCCUACGGGAGGCAGCAGUGGGGAAUAUUGCACAAUGGGCGCAAGCCUGAUGCAUCAACGCCGCGUGAGGGACGACGGCCUUCGGGUUGUAAACCUCUUUUAGUAAGGAAGAAGGGAAGCUUGCUUCUUGACGGUACUUGCAGAAAAAGCACCGGCUAACUACGUGCCAGCAGCCGCGGUAAUACGUAGGGUGCGAGCGUUGUCCGGAAUUAUUGGGCGUAAAGAGCUCGUAGGCGGUUUGUCACGUCUGCUGUGAAAUCCCGAGGCUCAACCUCGGGCCUGCAGUGGGUACGGGCAGACUGGAGUGCGGUAGGGGAGAAUGGAAUUCCUGGUGUAGCGGUGGAAUGCGCAGAUAUCAGGAGGAACACCGAUGGCGAAGGCAGUUCUNUGGGCCGUAACUGACGCUGAGGAGCGAAAGCGUGGGGAGCGAACAGGAUUAGAUACCCUGGUAGUCCACGCCGUAAACGUUGGGCGCUAGAUGUGGGGACCUUUCCACGGUUUCCGUGUCGUAGCUAACGCAUUAAGCGCCCCGCCUGGGGAGUACGGCCGCAAGGCUAAAACUCAAAGGAAUUGACGGGGGCCCGCACAAGCGGCGGAGCAUGCGGAUUAAUUCGAUGCAACGCGAAGAACCUUACCAAGGCUUGACAUAUACGAGAACGGGUCAGAAAUGAUCAACUCUUUGGACACUCGUAUACAGGUGGUGCAUGGUUGUCGUCAGCUCGUGUCGUGAGAUGUUGGGUUAAGUCCCGCAACGAGCGCAACCCUCGUCGUAUGUUGCCAGCACGUAAUGGUGGGAACUCAUAUGAG